AGUAUCCUCUUCACUUUCCCCUGAACAAUGGUUUCUGAUUUCCCUCUUCCCUGCCCCUCCCUUCGCUCCUACCACCUCCACGCCAUCCUCCGCCUCCCGCUCCUCCCGCUCCCAGGAACACGAGAAUGAACACAGUGUCGGAGAUAGUGAACAAAUUUAACGCUCUAGAGGUGCAGCAAGCGGAGUUGGAGAACGAGAUGUUGCAGGUCUGUGCUGGAUAUCAUCUCAAUUUCAAACUCGUUUGAACUGAAUGAGUGGUUUUGAGAUUGUUGAGAGUUUCAUGAGUUUAAUUUUUCACAUUGUUGUUCUGUUUUGCGAGUUUAAUUCUUGACAUUGUUGUUCUGUUUUGCGAGUUUAAUUCUUCACAUUGUUGUUCUGGUUCGCGAGUUUAAUUUUUCAUGUUAUAUGGAUUUCAUUUUAGGGUUUCAGGUUAUAUGAAUGAAGGUUUCUUGGUGAUUGCCAUUUGCAACAUGCUACUGACGAUAUUAAAGAUUAUCUUCAGGUUAUACGGAUGAAGGUUUCUUUGUGGUCGUCGUGGUUUCCAUUCACAAUAAGCUACUGGCGNN
rnacentral:lncRNA from 1 species